rnacentral:rRNA from 1 species
CAGCCGCCACGGGAAUACGGAGGGGGCUAGCGUUGUUCGGAAUUACUGGGCGUAAAGCGCACGUAGGCGGCUUGGUAAGUUAGAGGUGAAAGCCUGGAGCUCAACUCCAGAAUUGCCUUUAAGACUGCCGAGCUAGCAGGUGAGAGGUAAGUGGAAUUCCGAGUGUAGAGGUGAAAUUCGUAGAUAUUCGGAAGAACACCAGUGGCGAAGGCGGCUUACUGGCUCAUACUGGACGCUGAGGUACGAAAGCGUGGGGAGCAAACAGGAUUAGAUACCCGUGUAGUCCCUGUCUCUUAUACAC